AGCGAACGCUGGCGGCAGGCCUAAUACAUGCAAGUCGAACGGCUCUUCGGAGCAGUGGCGGACGGGUGAGUAACGCGUGGGAACGUGCCCUUUGGUUCGGAACAACACAGGGAAACUUGUGCUAAUACCGGAUGAGCCCUUCGGGGGAAAGAUUUAUCGCCAUUGGAGCGGCCCGCGUUGGAUUAGCUAGUUGGUGGGGUAAUGGCCCACCAAGGCGACGAUCCAUAGCUGGUCUGAGAGGAUGAUCAGCCACACUGGGACUGAGACACGGCCCAGACUCCUACGGGAGGCAGCAGUAGGGAAUCUUGCGCAAUGGGCGAAAGCCUGACGCAGCCAUGCCGCGUGAAUGAUGAAGGUCUUAGGAUUGUAAAAUUCUUUCACCGGGGAAGAUAAUGACGGUACCCGGAGAAGAAGCCCCGGCUAACUUCGUGCCAGCCGCCGCAGUAAUAC
rnacentral:rRNA from 1 species